AUUUUACUGUAUUUUUGAUCAGUAAUAAAGCUUUGGCAAGCAUAAGAGACUCCUUUCUAAAUCAUUAAAUCCACCUAUGCUAAUUUUAUAUCUGUGAAAUACUAAAGCAGAGUAGAAGCUGUAAAAUCUGUCACAUCUGAAUCAUGAACCACAAAACUAACUCAGAUUAGCAUGAAGGCCGGAAACUUAACAUCAUAACCUCCUUUAUGACCUCCCCUCAUCCCAGAAUGAAGACAGAAGCUUUUCAGGCACUCUCUGCCAUCAUGAGUCUUCCAAUGCAGUUAUGUUUUUUGUUUCUCAUUUACCUUUUUUGUAAAGUGGAUGGAAAUGUGAAACUUCAACAGAAAACCGCAAUGAUCAAAUCUGUGGACAAGACAGUUGUUAUAGACUGUAUUUUCCCAUCAGACUGCCUUAGCUACAUUCACUGGUAUCAACUAAAAGAGAACCAGAUCUUAAGAAGAAUAUUAUAUUCAUCAAUUUCAGGUGGAGCCACAAACAAUGAUGCUGGUUUUGAAUCAUUUAAAGUUGAUAAGAAACAGUCAAAUUUGGCUCUGAAAAUACCUGAACUGAAAGAAGAGCAUUCAGCGGUGUAUUACUGUGCCUGCUGGAUCUCGGGUGGCACAGCAGUAAUAAAUAUCAACACCCUGUACAAAAACUGAGCAGGCUGCCUGCCUCAAACUGAAACCACAAGCCACACGUUUUUAUGAUAUAAAAACCAUCUGCUAAACACUGAAACUAUGAAUUGCAUGCACUAUAAAUAGUAUCUGCUGAUCCUGAACACUUGGGAAAAGAAGGAUGAGGUCUAAAAUGGGCAAGGAAUGAAAUUUGGACUGUUGAAGGACAAAUGUGCUGAUGAAUAAUACGAAACUGUAAGCUGUAGCAUUUGAGGAGUUAAAAAAGAAUUGAGCUGCUCAGAUAAGCAGACAAAAGGCCUUCACUUGAAUAUAUACUAAAUAUAUAUGAAGAGUUCAGAUGCAAAAACCUCUAAAUGCCAUCUGAAAUUUUCAUCUAAAAUUAGGAAUUUUUUCAGGCUCCUAUAUUUAUGUUCAGUUAUUUCACUUUAAUAGCCUGGAAAAGGACCUGCACAUUGCCAUUAAAGUAAAAUGACUCAACUUAAGCAUAGGAGCUUGAUAAAAAUCCUAAUUUUAAAUGAAAAUUUCAGAUGGCAUUUAGAGGUUUUUGCAUCUGAACUCUUCAUAUAUAUAUGUGUGUGUGUGUUUUUUAUUUUUUAAGUUUAGUGGGUCCCCUUAGCCGCCGGCCACUGUGUUUCCACUCUCAAGUCAAAUCCCAGCUGGUUGAGUCUGUUGGAAGACUUGUAAAUAAACGAAUUCAGUCCCUACUGGCGACAGUGUGAUAUGGCACACGGUUAUUGCUGGAUCUGUUCAACAGAAAAGUAACCUAAAAGUGUUUUAGCACCUCAGUGACCAAAAUCAAGAUUAAUAUUCAUUUUUUUCUUUCUUAGCCAUUAUUAAAAAUUCUGCAGGGAUGUUCGACAACAUGAAGCAACAGCAGAUGCUCUUUGGCACAAGCUGC
rnacentral:lncRNA from 1 species